CCUUUUUUUUUUUUUUUUUUUUUUUUGUCUUUUUGAGACAGGGUCUCGCUAUGCAGUUCAGGCUGGCCUUGAGCUCACUUUGUAGCCCAGGCUGGUCUUGAACUCGCAAUGAUCCUCCUGCCUCAGCCUCCCGAGUUCUGGGAUUACAGGCAUGAGCCACCAUGCCCAGCUUCUCUUUCCCUUUUUUAUUCCGUCUAGGCUACAAGUCUUUUGGUUGGUGCCGCCCACAUCUGAGGAAGAAGCAGCACCACAUAUAAUGUUGUGGCCUCCCUCAGAGCCUUGCCCAGCCCUGCAAGGUACCUCAUGAUGUUAUGACUGAGUUCUCAAAAGCCCAUUCCACUGGUUCUCUCAGGUCGACUGCUUCAGGAUGAGGGCAAAGACGCAUGGCCACUUUGUUUGUGAGCCCAUUGCAUGAUGACAGAGGUGGUUGCGGAGGACAUUGACUGAGAACCACAGGAUCACAAGGACUGCGCCAGGAAGCCACAGCUUCAGACUGCACAGAGAAGGCAGUGUGGGGUGAGCGAGGACCAGACAGAGGAGCUCCAGUCUUUGCUUUCACCUUGGACAUCAUCUCCUGGCUCCUAGCACAGACUCUUCAACUUCUGCCUCGGAUCUUCCAGCCUUGUGGCAUAGACCCUUCAGCUCUCCAUUGUAGACACAGACCCAGUGACCUCCUGAGGUGGACUUACAUGGGACACUGCAGUGAAAUCCAGACCUUGGACUGAAACCUUCAGUCCCCAGUGUGCAGACACCCUCUGCACACUUCCCCAUCCAACUCUGUGGCUGACCAUCCUGAACCAAUCUUGCAUUUUCUUAUACAUUUGCAAACUAGCAUUAUAUCUGCUUCUCUAGUAAAACAUUAAUACAGUUGUCCAUUUUUAUCAUUCUGUGCAAUCUGUUUAUAAAUGUGCUACCUUUGAUUUCAUUAAAGAUACCCAGAAGGUAGAGAUUCUGUCUAUAGCAAGAGCUAGAUUAAGAAAUGGAGAAAAUUUGCAUUAGAACAUUAUAUGUGCAUAUGCAUGUGUGUGUGUUGGUCAUAUUGAAAAUAUGUUUGUACUUAAACAUAAACUUAUUAAAUAACUGCCAUCUAUUUACAUAAUUCACCCACAAGAGGGGCAAUAAAAAUCAUAUACCUUUAAUACUCUUUAAAUUCAGAAGCAAAAUAUUUGGAUAUUCUACAAUGGAUAGAGGUAGCCAAUAUUUCUGAUAAACAGAGAGCCCAGUGCCAAG